rnacentral:rRNA from 1 species
UACAGAGGUCUCAAGCGUUGUUCGGAUUCAUUGGGCGUAAAGGGUGCGUAGGCGGCGCGGUAAGUCGGGUGUGAAAUCUCGGGGCUUAACUCGAAACUGCAUUCGAUACUACCGUGCUUGAGGACUGGAGAGGAGACUGGAAUUUACGGUGUAGCGGUGAAAUGCGUAGAUAUCGUAAGGAAGACCAGUGGCGAAGGCGGGUCUCUGGACAGUUCCUGACGCUGAGGCACGAAGGCCAGGGGAGCAAACGGG